AUUGAACGCUGGCGGCAGGCUUAACACAUGCAAGUCGAGCGGGGUGAUGGUGCUUGCACUAUCACUUAGCGGCGGACGGGUGAGUAAUGCUUAGGAAUCUGCCUAUUAGUGGGGGACAACAUCUCGAAAGGGAUGCUAAUACCGCAUACGUCAUACGGGAGAAAGUAGGGGAUCACUUGUGACCUUGCGCUAAUAGAUGAGCCUAAGUCGGAUUAGCUAGUUGGUGGGGUAAAGGCCUACCAAGGCGACGAUCUGUAGCGGGUCUGAGAGGAUGAUCCGCCACACUGGGACUGAGACACGGCCCAGACUCCUACGGGAGGCAGCAGUGGGGAAUAUUGGACAAUGGGGGGAACCCUGAUCCAGCCAUGCCGCGUGUGUGAAGAAGGCCUUAUGGUUGUAAAGCACUUUAAGCGAGGAGGAGGCUCUUUUGGUUAAUACCCAAGAUGAGUGGACGUUACUCGCAGAAUAAGCACCGGCUAACUCUGUGCCAGCCGCCGCCGUAA
rnacentral:rRNA from 1 species